rnacentral:rRNA from 1 species
ACCUGAAGGAAGAGAAAGAAAUUCGAUUCCGUAAGUAGCGGCGAGCGAACGCGGAUUAGCCCAAACCAAUAAAGUUUUCUUUAUUGGGGUUGCGGACAUAUCAUAACGAAGAGGUAUCGUAAUUGAAGAGGUUUGGAAAGACCCACCACAGAAGGUAAUAGUCCUGUAUGUUAAACGAGAAGACUUCAGAUAUGAUCCAGAGUACCACGGGACACGUGAAACCCUGUGGGAAGCAGGAGGGACCACCCUCCAAGGCUAAAUACUACCUAGUGACCGAUAGCGUAUAGUACCGUGAGGGAAAGGUGAAAAGAACCCCGGGAGGGGAGUGAAAUAGAACCUGAAACCCUGCACUUACAAGCUGUGGAAGCACAUUUCUUGUGUGACCGCGUACUUUUUGUAGAACGGGCCAACGAGUUACGUUAAGUAGCAAGGUUAAGCACUUAAGGUGUGGAGCCGUAGCGAAAGCGAGUUUUAACUGAGCGUUCAGUUACUUGACGUAGACCCGAAACCGGGCGACCUACCCAUGAGCAGGAUGAAGCGAAAGUAAAAUUUCGUGGAGGUCCGAACCCACGAGCGUUGAAAAGCUCGGGGAUGACUUGUGGGUAGCGGUGAAAUUCCAAUCGAGCCCGGAGAUAGCUGGUUCUCCCCGAAAUAGCUUUAGGGCUAGCCUCAAGGUGAGAGAUACGGAGGUAGAGCACUGAAUGUCCUAGGGGGUAUUGCACCUACCGAAGACUAUCAAACUCCGAAUGCCGUCAUCUUAUACUUGGGAGUCAGACUGUGGGUGAUAAGAUUCAUAGUCGAAAGGGCAACAGCCCAGAUCGUCAGCUAAGGUCCCUAAAUGUAAGUUAAGUGGUAAAGGAUGUGGGAUUGCACAGACAACCAGGAUGUUGGCUUAGAAGCAGCCACUCAUUCAAAGAGUGCGUAAUAGCUCACUGGUCGAGUGAUCCUGCGCCGAAGAUUUCCGGGGCUAAAACUUACUACCGAAGCUACGGCAUCAGUAAUGAUGGGUAGGGGAGCUUCCCAUACGGGUUGAAGCAUGACCGUAAGGACAUGUGGACAGUAUGGGAGUGAGAAUGUUGGCAUGAGUAGCGAGAUGUGGGUGAGAAUCCCACAGGCCGUAAACCCAAGGUUUCCAGGGGAAGGUUCGUCCGCCCUGGGUUAGUCGGGACCUAAGCUGAGGCCGAAAGGCGUAGGUGAUGGACAACAGGUUGAUAUUCCUGUACUACCGAUAACCGUUUGAGAGAAGGGAUGACACAGUAGGAUAAGCUAAGCACACUGUUGGUUAUGUGUGCCCAAGCAUUGAGGCAGUCAAAGUAGGCAAAUCCGCUUUGAUAAUGCUGGGAUGUGAUGGGGAGCGAAAUUUAGUAGCGAAGUAGCUGAUUUCACACUGUCAAGAAAAGUCUCUAUCGAGGUUAAAGGUACCCGUACCGCAAACCGACACAGGUGGGUGAGGAGAGUAUCCUAAGGCCAGCGAGAGAACUGUUGUUAAGGAACUCGGCAAAAUGACCCCGUAACUUAGGGAUAAGGGGUGCCACCAUCAGGUGGCCGCAGAGAAUAGGCCCAAGCGACUGUUUACCAAAAACAUAGGUUUCUGCUAAGUCGCAAGACGAUGUAUAGGAGCUGACGCCUGCCCGGUGCUGGAAGGUUAAGGGGAUCUGUUAGAGCAAUCGAAGCAGUGAACUUAAGCCCCAGUAAACGGCGGCCGUAACUAUAACGGUCCUAAGGUAGCGAAAUUCCUUGUCGGGUAAGUUCCGACCCGCACGAAAGGCGUAACGAUUUGGGCACUGUCUCAACAACAGACUCGGUGAAAUUGUAAUUCCGGUGAAGAUGCCGGAUACCUGCGACAGGACGGAAAGACCCCAUGGAGCUUUACUGUAGCUUGACAUUGGGUCUUGGUACUACAUGUACAGGAUAGGUGGGAGGCUUUGAAACCAGGACGCCAGUUUUGGCGGAGCCAUCCUUGGGAUACCACCCUUGUAGUACUGGGACUCUAACCAUAGGCCAUGAAUCUGGUCUUGGGACACUGUCAGGUGGGCAGUUUGACUGGGGCGGUCGCCUCCCAAAAGGUAACGGAGGCGCUCAAAGGUUCUCUCAGUACGGUCGGAAAUCGUACGUAGAGUGUAAAGGCAAAAGAGAGCUUGAUUGCAAGACAUACAGGUCGAGCAAGGAUGAAAAUCGGACUUAGUGAUCCGGUGGUUCUGCGUGGAAGGGCCAUCGCUCAACGGAUAAAAGCUACCCUGGGGAUAACAGGCUUAUCUCCCCCAAGAGUCCACAUCGACGGGGAGGUUUGGCACCUCGAUGUCGGCUCAUCACAUCCUGGGGCUGUAGUAGGUCCCAAGGGUUGGGCUGUUCGCCCAUUAAAGUGGUACGCGAGCUGGGUUCAGAACGUCGUGAGACAGUUCGGUCCCUAUCCGUCGCAGGCGUAGGAAAUUUGAGAAGACCUGUCCUUAGUACGAGAGGACCGGGAUGGACGUACCUCUGGUGUACCAGUUGUUCUGCCAAGGGCAUGGCUGGGUAGCUAUGUACGGAAUGGAUAAGCGCUGAAAGCAUCUAAGCGCGAAGCCAACUUCAAGAUAAGAUUUCCCACCGCAAGGGUAAGACCCCAGAAAGACUAUCUGGUUGAUAGGUCGAAGGUGUAAGUGCAGCAAUGUAUUUAGCUUAUCGAUACUAAUAGGUCGAGGACUUGACCAA